UACAGAGGGUGCAAGCGUUAAUCGGAAUUACUGGGCGUAAAGCGUGCGCAGACGGUUGCGUAAGUCAGAUGUGAAAGCCCCGGGCUCAACCUGGGAAUUGCAUUUGAGACUGCGUAGCUAGGGUGCGGAAGAGGGAAGCGGAAUUUCCGGUGUAGCGGUGAAAUGCGUAGAUAUCGGAAGGAACACCAGUGGCGAAGGCGGGUCUCUGGGCCGAUAUUGACGCUGAGGAGCGAAAGCAUGGGGAGCGAACAGG
rnacentral:rRNA from 1 species